UGUCAUCAGCCCAGAACUUUCUUAAUCUUUUCUGAGAGAAACUACGUCAGUUCCUUGGGCUUCUUUCAAGAAAGUAAAAUUAUUUCCACAGAGAAGAAACAAUCAUUUUCUAAGCAAUAAGGUUAUUGAACUACUUUGGCUGAGUAAAUAACUCUGUUUGCUUCAGGGCACAUUCAGAGAAAUUUCCAAUUCUUGUCAUGGAUUAUGACAUGUUUUCCCCUUGAUAAGACAACAGAAGUGUGUAUUGGACAUUUAAGCAGAUUUCAGUGUGGAAGUUCUCAACACGCUGAUUUUCCCAGGACUGCUUCUGGAUGGAUCAAGAAUCCUGCUGGAGCUUGAGAGUCCUGAAGAAGCUGCCUCUUCCUUGACCCCACUGCUACUCUGUACAUGGCUGGAUCUCUUGGAAAUUGCCAACCCUGGAGAGAAGUGUCUUUGACUUCUCUCCUGGCCUGGACAAACCACAGAGGAAACUUAAGCUCUACCCUGGGCAUGAUGAACUCCAAUACGGAGUAAAUGUGCCUUUGCUGCCUGCCAGCUGCCAGCUUCCACUUCCUCCCCACAAGACAAAUGCAUAUGAAGACGGUAUGCGCUCGUCUGGCCUCAUUUAGGUUUUUGUUAGUCAUCCCUGCUGUCGCUGGCCUGUGACCUUGGAAGGACUAUUUGAGCAGCUUGAAUGGAGUGAUCAGCAGAAGAAAGAAGAAAUUUGAACACACAAAGGACAAGUGCAGAGACAGAGGGAUGACCAUGUGAGGACACGGCAAAGAAGCCAACAUAACACAGAGACUGAGACUCUGAGGAAUGUGAUAUGGAGAUGGAAAAAUGGGGUAAGCCUUGGGCUGCAUGGUAGCAAUUUCUCUAGCAGAUCCUAGCAGAAGAAUCCAUCUCACCCUUCUGAGAUCUAUGAAUCCAACUCCCAUCAGGCUAUCUCUGAGGACCUCCAUUUGAGAUUAUUGCACUAGAAUCAAAUGUGUGCAACAAGUUAGCUGGUUAGAAAGCCUGGUUAUGGUUUUAAUGACUGCUAUGCGGAGGUGCUGCCUUGUUAGUCUUUAUAGCAACACCAUGAGGUGAGCUGAUUUAAUACUACAUAUUAUAGAUGAGAACAAAAUGUACCUAACAAAGUUAAAUAACAUAUCUAAAUUCAAAUAAUUAAUAAAAGGCAAGGCUUGCAACUGAGACUUGUCUCUCCCUAAAGUGUGUCACUUGCAUAGACAUUCCUGAAUCUUCAAUAAAAGGGUUUAGGAAAAGCAUGUUUGCAUUGAGAAUUAGCUCAUCGGGGAUCCAGACUCAGAAAUGAUUUUUAAAAGUUUAUCAAGUUAAUGAAUUAAAAACUCUAUUCUGUUUUAAAAAAGAGAACGAAUUCAUAAAGGUAAAGAAAAUAUAUAUAACAUUAAAAUAUAGACAUAAGCUUAUCCACUUGAGAAAGAACUGCAUUAAUUUGUGAUUUAUCUGAAGAAAGGCUUAUGCAGUUGAAGUUUGGGGGCACAGCCUUAAGCUGCUCACUCCAGCAGUGCUUAUUUAGCAUAUCCAUUGAGUUCUCUCUUAUUUUUCCUAUGAAAAGCUCAAGGUGAAGUUCAAAGAUACUUUUCUCUUUUUUUAAACAAAAAAGAUGCCUCAAACAUUAUAAUGAAGUGGAAAAACCAAGAGAAUAGCAAACUAUGAAAUGUAGAAAAUGUCAAAGGGGUAAGAAGAGGUACUUCUGAUUGAGGGUGUUAAAUUUCAGUGAGAGUAUGUAUAAUCCAAUUUAUCUCUUUCAUAUAUACUCUAACAUCAUGCCUGUGCAUUAAUUGGGAAUUUUAAUUUCAAUUUGUGCUGUGCCCCUAUGCUAUCUUUGCUAAUAUUCCUUCCUUUUGCUUUUCCAUUUUCUCUUUCCCACCUUCUCUCUUUCUCCAGGGCCAACUAAAGUUACCUGUUGGAAGAGUAUGAGAUUGCCUUAAUGAUAUAUUUGAUUUUAAUAACUCCAAGGUGGCUGACCUCUUAACUUGGUGCCUGGGUCUAUAAAUUAAGGGUCAUAACUUCCAAGCCUUAUAAUUUCUUUCCUAGUGCUAUAGGCAAAGAAACACUCAUAUGCUGAGCAUCAUCUCAAAUUCUUGGACUGCUUAUCUAUGCUAGGAAGAAGUAGUCAAUUAUAACUAGGGAUGGUGCUCAUUUGCAAAGUCAGAACCCAAUUAUUUUCCUGAGAAGCUGGACAUUGAAGUGUUUGGGAUGAACUGAUUCCAUCUUGUUACCUCUAAGGAUCUUGCUGAUAUUUAUCAACUGCAUUUCACAGAUUUAUAUAAUGCUCAGCUUCUGUAUGAAGUACAGAAUGAUACAAAGCUUAAAAUCUCCUACUAUAAGGAGAAUAAGAGUGACAGCAAGAAAUUGAGAGAGGAGGAAUGAAAGGAAAGAAGGAAGGAAGGAAGGAAGGAAAGAAGGAAGGAAGGAAGGAAGGAAGGAAGGAAGGAAAAGAUACAGCGUAGGGCUGGUAGUGUGUAUUAGCAGAGGAGUGGAUAGCUAAACCAAAAUAAUCUGGUUUUAUUUUUUCAGGAGGCUUUUGAAUUCAUGUCUCAAAAUUUGUUUUCUCUGUUUUAUAAAAAUAUUCUGAAAUACCUCACUUAUGUAUCAUUAAUAAAAGUCUGACCCCAAUUGCUUAUAAAUUUGUAGGAAGUUUCUGCCUUGCUUUAUUUCUUGUCUAUUUUUGCUUUAAAGGGAGAUCCAAAGAACUCAGUGAAUGCCCCCUUUUUUUCUUUUCUGUGUUUUAAAAUUCAGCUUAUAUUAUUGACACAGUAAUGGUUUGCAAGCUGUUAGCAUUUGAAAAAAAUGUCAAAAUGCAAUCUUAAAUAAUAGCCAUAAAUGAUAGAAAAUCUCUUUCUAGUAACAUUUGUAACUACCCUAGGUGACACAAACUGUAGUGUUUUGCAUUUAUAUAUUUUGUUGUCCUGAUACCAUUUUCAUACUGUUCUACUGAAAUAUAAGCCAAAAAGUUAUUUUUGAAACAAGGUACAAGCUAUGAUGGAAAGAAAGGAGAGGAGAAGGACACAAGGAGAGAGAGAUGGAGAUAGAGGAAGAGAAAAGAAAGAGAAAGAAGGAAAGCACAAAAAGCAAGAACUCAAUUUGUAUCUAUGGUGUGUGUUUGCUAACCCAACCACCUUCUUAGAAAAUACACACCUUCCAUUUUUUUGCAAAGGCUGAAGUCUACAGAUAACUUUUCUGGGUCUCAACUGUGUAAUUAAAAAAAAGUAUAGGUCA
rnacentral:lncRNA from 10 species